AAUCGUGACGUAAGGGAUAUUGAGGUCGGAGAAUUCGGAGCUCGAGGAUGAUCCAAGUUUCCGAUUUGGAAUUUCGAGUUGGAUGACCGUUCAAAACAAAUUUUCCAAUUCGAAACACAUUUUUCCGAAUUGCAAGUUGUAUUGAACACACUGAGGUCAGAUGUCGGAGAUUCCCGAGUUCCCAGUUGAAUGGAACGCUGCAUGAACUCCGACUUCUCUCCCAUUAUGGCCUCUUCGUUUUUUUAAAUGUAACUAGGCAAGUCAGUUAAGAACAAAUUCUUAUUUAUUUAUAAACCGGGACAACGCUGAGCCAAUUGUGCGCCGCACUAUGGGACUCCCAAUCACAGCCAGUUGUGAUACAGCCUGGAUUCGAACCAGAGUGUUUGUAGUGACGCCUCUAGCACUGUAUCAGGAAAUGAAAGCAGUAUCAGGAAAUGAUCUCCAUAACAGAUUUUUCGGCAGUUAAGUGUAACAACUAAACAUUAUUUAUAAAAGCAAUCUAUUCAUAUAUAUUUUUUCACACUGUAUUUUCUUGACAAGCAUGAUUGAUAGCUGUUCUUGUAGUUUAUGGUUGACCAGCUGGUUGGCCAUUAGCCAAUCGGCGUUUCAACGAGUUCAAAGCAUGUGUGAAUGUAUCCAAAUUGCAACGAGUAAUUACCACCUUCCCAUGUGGUUAUGCUGCGUUCAUGUGCUCGUCGAAGUAUUUGAUUUCGAUAAUAUUGCUUUGUUUCAUUCAUUUGCUUUUUGGUCUGACUCUGCAAACUUGUUAGAUGCAUUUGCUGUUUGUUUUGCUUGUUUUUCAGUUUAUGUUGUGCCCAAUAGAAAUUAAUGAUAAAUAAUGUAUUUUAGGAAGGUAGAAAGAAAGUCAUUUGAACCGGUGAUUCGUAACAUUUGGUACGUUUGGGGUCCUGGGGACCAAUGCACUCAAAUCUUAAACAUUUGAACCGGGGGCCAAUACCUAUCAUGAAUCGUUACAUCCCUAAUGUUUCCUACUCUCCUUGUCUGUUCCAAUCUCACUGUGUAUUUGCUUCCUUUCAGGAUUAGAAGACACUGGGUAUCUCUCCUCUGAUGGCUGCCAUGAAUGGUCACGUCCCUGCGGUCAAGCUGCUGCUGGACAUGGGCUCAGACAUCAACACUCAGAUCGAGACCAAACGUAACACAGCACAGACCCUGGCCUGCCAACGUGGAGCACUGCGUCAAGGACUAGAAGACACUGGGUAUCUCUCCUCUGAUGGCUGCCAUGAAUGGUCACGUCCCUGCGGUCAAGCUGCUGCUGGACAUGGGCUCAGACAUCAACACUCCGAUCGAGACCAAACGUAACACAGCACAGACCCUGGCCUGCCAACGUGGAGCACUGCGUCAAGGUGAGAGCAGCCAUCAUCAGCUGAACCUGACAUGUUAUGUUAUCUGGGAUAGAGUCAAAGACAUUAGGAAUGAUGUUUGGUGUUAGACUGUUUGGUGCAGUAUGUCACUAACCCAUACGUUCUCUCUGAUUGGUCAAACUCCUCUCAUGGAGGGUGUGUCAGGUGGCUAUGCUGAGAUGGGGCAUGUUCUGCUGGACAAGAGCGCUUACGUCACCUGUCCAAACCUUCCAAGACACCGUGUGCACCAUUGCUGCAGACAAGGGCCACUACAAGUUCUGUGAGCUCCUCAUCAACAGCUAAUUACUGUUACAGUCUACCUUCAGUAUGAGACCAACAUCUCCUCCUGGGACAACGGAUACACGUGACUC